rnacentral:tRNA from 1 species
GCGGGUGUAGCUCAGUUGGUUAGAGCACCUGGUUGUGGUCCAGGGGGCCGCCGGUUCGAGUCCGGUCACUCGCCCCA